UACGUAGGGGGCAAGCGUUGUCCGGAAUCAUUGGGCGUAAAGAGCGCGUAGGCGGCCCAGUAAGUCCGCUCUGAAAGUCAGGGGCUCAACCCCUGAAUGCGGGUGGAUACUGCUGGGCUAGAGUCCGGAAGAGGCGAGUGGAAUUCCUGGUGUAGCGGUGAAAUGCGCAGAUAUCAGGAGGAACACCAAUGGCGAAGGCAGCUCGCUGGACGGUACUGACGCUGAGGCGCGAAAGCCAGGGGAGCAAACGGG
rnacentral:rRNA from 1 species